AGGAUGAACGCUAGCGGCAGGCCUAAUACAUGCAAGUCGAACGGUGGUAGCAAUACCAUAGUGGCGCACGGGUGCGUAACGCGUAACCAACCUACCCACAACUGGGGGAUAGCCCGCCGAAAGGCGGAUUAAUACCGCAUAAGCUCUGUAGCCGGCAUCGGUUAUUUAGUAAAGAUUUAUUGGUUGUGGAUGGGGUUGCGUGCCAUUAGCUAGUUGGUGAGGUAACGGCUCACCAAGGCGACGAUGGCUA
rnacentral:rRNA from 1 species